rnacentral:rRNA from 1 species
GAUGAACGCUGGCGGCGUGCUUAAUACAUGCAAGUCGAGCGAAGCCGGGAAGGGUGAGUAACACGUGGAUAACCUCCUAUAAGACAGGGAUUAGUUCGGGAAACCGGAGCUAAACCGGAUACUUAUAGCUGGUUCCGUGGUGCAUUAGCUAGUUGGUAAGGUAACGGCUUACCAAGGCAACGAUGCAUAGCCGACCUGAGAGGGGGGUCGCCCACACGGGAACUGCAACACGGACCAGACGCCUACGGGAGGGAGCAGUAGGGAAUCGGCCGCAAUGGGCGAAAACCGUGCGGAGCAGCGCAACGUGAGUGAUGAAGGUCGUCGGAUCGUAAAACUCUGGUAUUAGGGGAACGGUACCUAAUCAGAAAGCCACGGCUAACUACGUGCCAGCAGCCGCGGUAAUAC